GGAGAGAUGGCCGAGUAGGUCGAAGGCGCUCGCCUGCUAAGCGAGUGCUCCGUGAUAAACGGAGCCGAGGGUUCGAAUCCCUCUCUCUCCG
rnacentral:tRNA from 1 species